rnacentral:rRNA from 1 species
GGUUCAUUCAAAUUUCUGCCCUAUCAACUUUCGACGGCUGGGUCUUGGCUAGCCAUGGUGACAAGGGUAACGGAGGGUUAGGGCUCGACCCCGGAAAAGGAGCCUGAGAAACGGUUACUACAUCCAAGGAAGGCAGCAGGCGCGCAAAUUACCCAAUCCCGACCGGGGAGGUAGUGACAAUAAUUACUGAUACAGGGGCUUUUUGGGUCUUGUAAUUGGAAUGAGUACAAUUUAAAUCCCUUAAGGAGGAACAAUUUGGAGGCAAGUCUGGUGCCAGCAGCCGGGGUAAUUCCAGCUCCAAUAGCGUAUAUUACAGUGGUGAAGGUUAAAAAGCUCGUAGUUG